rnacentral:rRNA from 1 species
CGACUGGGUCAGUCCGAGUGAUUCCUGAUAAAGGAGUCUUUUGCUUGUCCUAAAAGCACAGGUGAAUAAGGGGUGGGCAAGUCUGGUGUCAGCCGCCGCGGUAAUACCAGCACCUCGAGUGGUCAGGACGUUUAUUGGGCCUAAAGCAUCCGUAGCCGGCUCUGCAAGUCUUCGGUUAAAUCCACCUGCUCAACAGAUGGGCCGCUGGAGAUACUACAGAGCUAGGGAGUGGGAGAGGCAGACGGUAUUCAGUGGGUAGGGGUAAAAUCCUCUGAUCCAUUGAGGACCACCAGUGGCGAAGGCGGUCUGCCAGAACACGUUCGACGGUGAGGGAUGAAAGCUGGGGGAGCAAACCGGAUUAGAUACCCGGGUAGUCCCAGCUGUAAACGAUGCAAACUCGGUGAUGCAUUGGCUUAUGGCCAAUGCAGUGCCGCAGGGAAGCCGUUAAGUUUGCCGCCUGGGAAGUACGGACGCAAGUCUGAAACUUAAAGGAAUUGGCGGGGGAGCAC